AGAGUUGAUCCUGGCUUAGGAUGAACGCUAGCGACAGGCUUAACACAUGCAAGUCGAGGGGCAGCACGGGAGUAGCAAUACAACUGGUGGCGACCGGCGCACGGGUGAGUAACGCGUAUGCAACCUACCUAUCAGAGGGGAAUAACCCGGCGAAAGUCGGACUAAUACCGCAUAAAACAGGGGCACCGCAUGGUGAUAUUUGUUAAAGAGAUUCGCUGAUAGAUGGGCAUGCGUUCCAUUAGGUAGUUGGUGAGGUAACGGCUCACCAAGCCGACGAUGGAUAGGGGAACUGAGAGGUUGGUCCCCCACACUGGUACUGAGACACGGACCAGACUCCUACGGGAGGCAGCAGUGAGGAAUAUUGGUCAAUGGGCGGGAGCCUGAACCAGCCAAGUCGCGUGAAGGAAGAAGGAUCUAUGGUUCGUAAACUUCUUUUGCAGGGGAAUAAAGUGCAGGACGUGUCCUGUUUUGUAUGUACCCUGAGAAUAAGGAUCGGCUAACUCCGUGCCAGCCGCUGC
rnacentral:rRNA from 1 species